GCCAUUGCAGACUGCACAUACAUUAAGUCCUAUUAAAGUGUCAUCCCAGAUUAGCCUGUGCAGACUGCACAUACAUUAAGACCUAUUAAAGUGUCAUCCCAGAUUAGCCUGUGCAGACUGCACAUACAUUAGGCCCUAUGUUCCCAGAAUGAGGCCCAUAUAGUUCACUUAACAUCAGUAUUUUAUGUGCCUGAAAAGUUCCUAGCAUCAAAUGGGAUUUUGUGCUUUUAAAUUGAUCACACUUAGUAAAUAAAAUGCAAAUAGCACUUGAUCUGAUAUCAAUUUUAAUCAUAGAAGGUCAGGGCAUUAAGUUUUGUAUAUUUUCGACCGAAAUUUAGCCCCUGAACCAAAAGUUUAUCCUUGCAUAAAAAUCUGCUUUAAUAGAAUUGUUAAAUAAUAUUUAAUUUUAGUAAAAUAAUUAUGUAAAAGCCUUCAGCUCAUUUUACAAUUAUUUUCUUCAUUUAUUUUCAAUAUUUAUGUAAAUUCUUGGUUUUUGUUUUAAGAGCCUGUUCCUACAGGAACCCAUGCAAUCAUAGAUCGGUACCUAGCUGAACAACAGGCUGUCUGGUCAGCUGGGCCCAGACGCCCAGUGACACUUCCUGGCCCAGGACCUUGGGGCAAAUGCUCAACUAGUCUUACCCGCAGGGUGGAGCCACUCUGAACCUGGGGCUCCAUACUUUGUUGGCCAGGGGCCAAGAUUACCUCGUCAAUAAGGGACACAUUCCUGGGAUGCCCUAAGGUCUUUCUAUCUGUUCACAGAGGUCUUAUACUCACAAGUUCAAGCCCAGUGAGCGAUGUUCACCAAAUCAAACUCUGCAUCUCAAUAGAAACCCGGAUAUCAAAGCGUUGAGCUUGUUUUUUGAAGCAUUUGCACCAGCAACAGUCAUCAUCUCGAGUUACUGGCAUCUCUAUGGUGUGGAACCCUCCUUCUAUGAACAUCAUAACAGCACAUGAACCAGUGGCAGUCAUCAUCUCAAGAUUUUGGUAUAUCCAUGGUGCAGGACCCUCGGUCUGUAAAGAUCAUGCAGAGCGAACCUCAGAUGCCAUUUGACAAAAUCAAAUCAUCCAAUCAGAAACACGGCCUGUUGAAGCAGUUGUUACCAUAUUGACCCCAGUCAAACCUAAGAAGUCCAUAGAUAAAAACUUUUUUAGAUGUGCUAGUCUCAACGUACCUCCCGGUUUGUUCAGCACUUACUCUGACUCAUUGAAUUUUAUGACGGGUGAAAAUGAAUGACCUUGUUCAGUUCGAAAUGGCAAAAUGACACAUCACAACAAUUCAAGUGGAAAGCCAGAAAGUCAUGUCAAUAGCCACAUUUUGUAUGUGUAACAGCCAAGUUGUUUUCAAAGAAAAACAAUAGUUUACGUUUUAUUUUUUAUGUGACCAAUGUUUCAUGGGAAUUAUGAUGCUGUCAGUCUCUUUAUGUUGAAAGUUUUGGUUAAACAUAGCAUGUUAAUUUUUUUUUUAAGCACACAUAUUGCAUUUAUAUCCAAUGUCUUUGUCUGUAUAAUGAAUUUUUCACUCUAAGAUUGUCAAGUCUGUUUAAAUGAUGCUGGUAACUUUGACAAAAUUGGAAAAAAAGAGUAUGUUCAUGUUAUAAGAUAUGUUUCAGUUUUCUGUUUUUACCCGUAAUAUAGAUAAGCUAAUUUAAUGAAUUGUUCUAAAAGGUUUAUAACUUUUAGGCUUCAGCUUUUUCUGUCUAUAAAUCCUUCCGAAAACAAUACUAGUCAAUUUGCUCAUUCGGGUCGGUAUUCGAUCAUGAAUCUUGUUUAGUAGCAUACUAUUUCAUUGGAAUAAUGAUACAUUCUGGGAAAAAUUAUUUAAUCUACCUAAAAUUAUUGAUUCUGUAAAUACCAUUUUGUUGAUUUCAAUGGAUAUUGUUUGUAAAAUUAAUAUAGUAUGACUAUUGCGUGUUUGGGAAAGCUUUUAAUGAAACUGAGAAUUAAAAAAAAACAAAAAAACAGAUAAGAGUUUUAUGAAAAUUGGCAAAAAUUAUUAUUGUUAAUUUAUGUUGUUAGAUCAUAGACGUGUAUGCUCACAAUUGUUAAACUUUGUUUUUGGACACAAUAGUUUAUUAUGCUUUAUGUUUGUUUAUGCAUAUGAAGAUGACCAGAGUGUAUCCUCUUAAAUAACUGCGUAACUUAAUCAAGAUUUAUUGAUCACUGUUAAUAUUGUGUAGGUAUAUUUUACCAUUUAUACAUAAAGCAACUGUAGAACAAUUGUAUUUUAAAUGUAAAUUAUUCUUGUAUUGUUGCCAUUUGUAUAAGAUAAACUAGCUGUUUAUCUUAGUUUGUAAAAACCUUUGUAAAAAAACAUUUCCUGUGUGAAUGCUCAUAUAUAUAUUAAACUGUUAAAAUAAUGCACAGUACCAGAAAAAAUAGUCAAUUACACAGUAAGCAAAAGUGUUGUCAUAUGCUUACAAUUGUAAAAAAUUGCAAUUGUCUCUAUUUGUAAUAAUAGAGAGCAAUAUUAUUUGCUUUAAAAAUAAAAACAAAGAUGUCUGCUUUGUAAAUUGAUAAUUGUGUUUACAUCUCAACAUAACACGUAAAUACAUUAAAGUCUAAAAGGAUUUUUUGGAAUAAAGAACUAAAUAAAUAUAUGUGCGUAUAUACGCUGAUAAUAAAAUUUUACAUUUCAUUUAGUUUUGUAACAGCCCUUUUGACCUUUCACGUUGACCAUCCCACACUUGCUGUGCAGUGCCUUCAUUAGGGUCAUUUUUAUGCUCCCGGUAGGGUGGCAUAUAGCAGUUGAACUGUCCGUCAGUAUGUCAGUCCGUCCGUUUGUCCGAAAAAAAAACUUAAAGAUGGGCCAUAACUUUUUGAAUAUUGAAGAUAGCAACUUGAUAUUUAGCAUGCAUGUGCAUCUUAUGGAGCUGCACAUCUUGAGUGGUGAAAGGUGAAGGUCAAGGUCAUCUUUCAAGGUCAAAUGUCAAAUUUAUGGCGUCUGUCCGUCCGUCUGAAAAACUUUAACAUUGGCCAUAACUUUUUCAAUAUUAAAGAUAGCAACUUGAUAUUUGGAAGCCAUGUGUAUCUCAUGGAGCUAAACAUUUUGAGAGGUACAAAGUGAAGGUCAAGGUCAUCCUUGAAGGUCAAAGGUCCAAAAAAAAUCAAAGCGGCGUUCCCAUGAAGCUGCACAUUGUGAGUGGUGGAAGUUCAAGGUCAUCUGUUAAGGUCAAGGUCAUCCUUUAAGGUCAAAUAUAUGGCGUCUGUCCGUCCGUCCGAAAACAUUAACAUUGGCCAUAACUUUUUCAAUAUUGAAGAUAGCAACUUGAUAUUUGGCAUGCAUAUGCAUCUCAUGGACCUGCACUUUUUGAGUGGUGAAAGGUGAAAGUCAAGGUCAUCCUUCAAGGUCAAAUGUCAAAUUUAUGGCGUCUGUCCGUCCGUCCGAAAACUUUAACUUUGGCCAUAAUUUUUUCAAUAUUGAAGGUAGCAACUUGAUAUUUGGCAUGCAUGUGCAUCUCACGGAGCUGCACAUUUUGAGUGGUGAGAGUUGAAGGUCCAGGUCAUCCUUCAAAUUCAAAUGUCAAAUAUAUUAAAAUAAAAAAAUCAAAGUGGCGUUCUCAUGAAGCUGCACAUUGUGAGUGGUGGAAGUUCAAGGUCAAGGUCAACCGUCAAGGUCAUCCUUCAAGGUCAAAGGUCAAAAUAAUAAUAAAUUCAAAGUGGCGUUCUCAUGAAGCUGCACAUUUUGAGUGGUGGAAGUUCAAGGUCAAGGUCAUCCUUCAAUGUCAAUGGUAUUAAAAAAAUGUUGUUUUUUUCAAAGCGGCGCAAUAGGGAGCAUACUGUGCUUCUGACGAACACAUCUCUUGUUAGUAAAUAUCCCACUGUUUAAGUUCAGCAAAUGUUUUAAGACCAGAUUUUCUUAAACUUGGGUUUGUUAUUAUUUUACUUUUAUUGAAUGAAUGAAACAUGUGUAUUCUGUUGUUGAAUAGCUAAACAUAGCUUGAUGUUUGUAAAUUGUGUGACAAAUGUUGAUCAAAUUGAUACAUAGAAAAAAACACCAUCUUAGUUAACUUGUAUGUGUUAAUUACCAAACACAAAUAUAAGUAUUUGUUAACAAUAUAACUAUUGUCUUUAUUCGAAAUACAGUAUGAAAUGCAAUUUUAAAAUCAUGCCUUUAUAUGUUCAUCUUCUCCAAAUAAGCAUUUUGAAUAAGCAAAUAUAAUAUCUCUAUGGAAAGUAUCCGUAGGCCCCAUGCAAUCGCUUAUGUACCUCAUAUUGAUCAGGGUCUUUCUAAAUUAUUUCAGGAUUGUUUAUCCCUUUCUGAAUUGUGUAAAUAGCUUCAACAUCGUGAGAUAACUGUUAAGAGGAUUUUAAUAUUAAAAGUUAAAAUAGUAUCUUAACUGUAACCGUACAUCUGUUGCAUUUAUUUUUUGAUGUUUAUAUGUUGUGGCUCACUGAGAUUUAUAUUGUCUAUAAUCUUGUGUACUUUAAUUGUGUUUUUUAAGACAAACAUCAUUAUACUGAUUAUUCUGUUUUUGUUCAACACUUCUAUAUAUACAAGUUGUAUGUAAAUAAUUAAAUAUGUUUAUGUUGAUGAUAUGUAUUUCCCGAUCUAAGUUUGAUGUUGAACUCUCAAUAAACGACAUGUUUUGCCAAUUAAAUCCCGAAUAAUU